CACCUGUAACUCACGUGACCCUGAUUAUUAUUGAAACGAGAACGAGGGCGUCGUGCCUUUAUAAGACUGCGUUAAUGUUUCCGUGGAGUUAUCCCUUCCGUUGUUGUUUAUUGCUUGUUAAACAUGGCGUCAUUUGCAAAGGUGGUUGUGUGUCUCCUCAUUGCUUGUGUCUGUAAUGCAUUCUGUUUUCCGAAGAGAGAUGUGAACUUUAAGGCCUCUGCAGUUGACCGCCAAAGUGAUGAUGUGGUUGUCACCACAACACCCGUUCCCCACAACCAGACCACAUCUGCCCAUACUUCAGCUGGUGAUGGAGCCAGUGAAGAUGCUGUGGACCUCCAAAGUGAUGAUGUGGUUGUAGCCACAACACCCGAUCACCACAACCAGACCACAUCUGCCCAUACUGAAGCUGGUGAUGGAGCAAGUGAAGAUGCUGUGGCUACUACCCCAACACUAAAUCCCCCAACUACAUCUGACCACACUGCAGCUACCGAUGAUGCAAGUGAGGGUGCUGUGGCUGCCCAAACUGGAACUACUGUAUCCCAUACGACUGAAGUCUGAUUCGACUGCUCCUCUGGUCACAAUGACCUGAGUCACUGUCUGGACUUUUUGCCUCUACAUGUUGACUGCAAUAAAGGACAGAUUUGUUUUUUGAAUCA
rnacentral:lncRNA from 1 species